AUUUUAAUUUUAAGGAAAAACUUUCAAAAAAUCCCUGUGGCUUCGUAGUUUCUCACUUUGCCCCCCUGUGGUUUAAAAAUAUCAAUUUUCCCCCGUGUGGUUUCUUUUUUCUCUUUUUCUUAUCAAUUUUAUUAUUUUUUUUUUCUUAAAUCAGUGAUAAAGUUAAAAUUAAAGAGUACUAAAGUGAAUAUUUGAUAAAUCUCGAUGUGUAUCUGAAGUUUUUUGUAUAUAAUUUAAUAAAAUAUUAAUGAAAAAGUUAUCGAAAAGAUAAAACAAAACUACAGGAGGGCAAGUUGAUACACUUUAAACUACAGGAUAUUAAAUGAGAAACAAUGAAACACACGGGGGUUUUUGAAGUUUUCCCUAAUUUUAA
rnacentral:lncRNA from 1 species